GGGAGAAUCUGCGAGAAGCACCAGGAGCCCCUGAAGCUCUUCUGCAAAGUUCAUGAAGCCCCCAUCUGCCUGGUGUGUGACAGAUCCAAGGAACAUGAAAAUCACAAGGUGAUUCCUCUGGAGGAGGCUUCCGAGGAAUACAAGGGAGAGAUCUGUCACCGCCUGGAGAUUCUGAGGAAAGAGAGAGGAAAUUCUGGCCUAUCGAGCAGAUCUGGACAAGGAAAGCAAAGACCUCCUGAAAUUAACAGAAACAGAGAGGCUGAAGAUUGUGGAGAAGUUCAGAGA